rnacentral:rRNA from 1 species
GAUGAACGCUGGCGGCGUGCUUAACACAUGCAAGUCGAACGAUGAAGCCCAGCUUGCUGGGUGGAUUAGUGGCGAACGGGUGAGUAACACGUGAGUAACCUGCCCUUGACUCUAGGAUAAGCCCGGGAAACUGGGUCUAAUACUGGAUAGGAACGUCUACCGCAUGGUGGGUGUUGGAAAGAAUUUCGGUCAUGGAUGGACUCGCGGCCUAUCAGCUUGUUGGUGAGGUAAUGGCUCACCAAGGCGACGACGGGUAGCCGGCCUGAGAGGGUGACCGGCCACACUGGGACUCAGACACGGCCCAGACUCCUACGGGAGGCAGCAGUGGGGAAUAUUGCACAAUGGGCGAAAGCCUGAUGCAGCGACGCCGCGUGAGGGAUGACGGCCUUCGGGUUGUAAACCUCUUUCAGUAGGGAAGAAGCGAAAGUGACGGUACCUGCAGAAGAAGCACCGGCUAACUACGUG